rnacentral:rRNA from 1 species
GAUGAACGCUGGCGGCGUGCCUAAUACAUGCAAGUCGAGCGAAUGGAUUAAGAGCUUGCUCUUAUGAAGUUAGCGGCGGACGGGUGAGUAACACGUGGGUAACCUGCCCAUAAGACUGGGAUAACUCCGGGAAACCGGGGCUAAUACCGGAUAACAUUUUGAACCGCAUGGUUCGAAAUUGAAUGGCGGCGUCGGCUGUCACUUAUGGAUGGGCCCGCGUCGCAUUAGCUAGUUGGUGAGGUAACGGCUCACCAAGGCAACGAUGCGUAGCCGACCUGAGAGGGUGAUCGGCCACACUGGGACUGAGACACGGCCCAGACUCCUACGGGAGGCAGCAGUAGGGAAUCUUCCGCAAUGGACGAAAGUCUGACGGAGCAACGCCGCGUGAGUGAUGAAGGCUUUCGGGUCGUAAAACUCUGUUGUUAGGGAAGAACAAGUGCUAGUUGAAUAAGCUGGCACCUUGACGGUACCUAACCAGAAAGCCACGGCUAACUACGUGCCAGCAGCCGCGGUAA